AUCCUUUUGUAGUUCAUGAACGUGAUGGUUGUGUGUUCACACACGUGUGAGAUGUGCCACCCUUGAACUUUCUUGCAACAUCUACACAUUACCCAUCUAAUC